rnacentral:snRNA from 1 species
GGAUGUGAGGGUGAUCUGGCUGUGAGAUCUGUCACCCCACUGAUCCCCAGGGUUGAUUCGGCUGAUCUGGCUGACUAGGUGGGUGUCCCCUUCCUCCCUCACUGCUCCAUUUGCGUCCCUGCCAAAGCUGCAUGAUCAGUUGAAGAGGACAGUCUUCCCCGAAUAGAGACGGACCAGUCUUCGGUCGAGGGUAUAAAAGUAGCUAUGCUGCCCAGCUAGAACAUCCAAACAAGCUCUCAAAUAAGUCACCUCUUUGGGGAGGAGUGUCCCUUGCUAAGCUUUUGUGGUAUUAAAUAACAAGGAUCUCAGAAAAGAGGCACUUUCACACAGUUCUAACGUGAUAAAAUAGUUUCUGU